UACGGAGGAUCCAAGCGUUGUCCGGAUUUAUUGGGUUUAAAGGGUGCGUAGGUGGAUAAUUAAGUCAGGGGUGAAAGCCUGCAGCUCAACUGUAGAACUGCCCUUGAAACUGAUUAUCUUGAGUGUGGUUGAGGUAGGCGGAAUGUGUCAUGUAGCGGUGAAAUGCUUAGAUAUGAUACAGAACACCAAUUGCGAAGGCAGCUUACUAAACCAUUACUGACACUGAGGCACGAAAGCAUGGGGAGCAAACAGG
rnacentral:rRNA from 1 species